rnacentral:rRNA from 1 species
GGUGAACGCUGGCGGCGUGCUUAACACAUGCCAGUCGAACGGUGAAGGCGGAGCUUGCUCUGCUGGAUCAGUGGCGAACGGGUGAGUAACACGUGAGCAAUCUGCCCCUGACUCUGGGAUAAGCGCUGGAAACGGCGUCUAAUACUGGAUACGAGCUGCGAAGGCAUCUUCAGCAGCUGGAAAGAAUUUCGGUCAGGGAUGAGCUCGCGGCCUAUCAGCUUGUUGGUGAGGUAAUGGCUCACCAAGGCGUCGACGGGUAGCCGGCCUGAGAGGGUGACCGGCCACACUGGGACUGAGACACGGCCCAGACUCCUACGGGAGGCAGCAGUGGGGAAUAUUGCACAAUGGGCGAAAGCCUGAUGCAGCAACGCCGCGUGAGGGACGACGGCCUUCGGGUUGUAAACCUCUUUUAGCAGGGAAGAAGCGAAAGUGACGGUACCUGCAGAAAAAGCGCCGGCUAACUACGUG